GAAGAAGAAGAAGACAAUGACAUCCGGCCGGCUAAGAGAAGGGCGCUGUUACACCAAAUUUCUUCUUUAAUUUUUUUUUUAUAAUAUAGCGUUAACAAAACGUCUGUAUUUUUUAUAAUAUAGCGUUAUAUUUUUAUAAAAUAGCGUUAACAAAACGUCUGUAUUAAUUAUGACCCCGGAAGUAACUGGGGGGGGGGGAGAAAUUUGGCGUGACAGUCCCAUACUGACAGUGACCGAGCAGUUGUCCCUCCAACUUUGGGUUGACUUGGAGCGAAGAAUGUCAAAGACGAAAAAUAGUCCCGUUGGAGUGAAGCCCUGCAAACGGGCCAAAGCAGCGGAACAUGACGAAGAGGAGGAUGCAAUGCAAGUUGAUUCCGACACUAAUAAGAGAGAUGCUCGAUUAAGUAAACAGGUGCUCAUUGGUGGAGAGGUCGUGAGUGACGCAGGGAUUGUGGAGAGCAUCACACUGAAGAACUUCAUGUGCCACUCCUUCCUUGGACCUUUUACCUUUGGAUCCAAUGUCAACUUUGUGGUCGGCAAAAAUGGAAGUGGAAAGACUGCCAUCCUGACGGCCCUAAUAGUUUCAUUAGGUGGGAACGCACAGGCCACAAACAGAGGAGCGUCUCUCAAGGGUUUUGUGAAAGAAGGCGAAAGCUCGGCUGACGUAUCCAUCACCCUGCGCAACAAAGGAAGGGAUGCCUACAAAUCUGACGUGUACGGUCAAGCCAUCAUUAUAGACCUGAGGAUAACCCGUGAUGGAGCGAGAACAUAUAAACUUAAGAGCAAAACUGGCCAUAUUAUCUCCACCAAAAAGGAGGAGCUUGACUCGAUGCUGGACAAUUUUAAUAUUCAGGUCAACAAUCCUGUGUCAGUUCUCACCCAAGAAAUGAGCAAAUACUUCCUGCACUCCAAAGGAGAGGGGGACAAAUACAAGUUUUUCAUGAAAGCCACACAACUGGAGCAGAUGAAGAAGGACUUUGUGCACAUCAAAACUACCAAACAUGUCACUGAAGAUAAAGUGGAUCAACAUGGUGAGUGCUUGAAAGAACUGAAGCGGAAGUCCUUGGAGAAAGAGGAGCGCUACAAGAACCUGGCAUCGCUUGAUGAGUUGCAAACCAAAUUGGAGGACUUACAGAAGCAGAUGGCCUGGGCUGUGGUAAUUGAGAUGGAGAAAGAGUUGGAGCCGAUGAAAGUGAAGCUGCAGUCGGACAAACAUACGACUGCAAAAUAUGAUGAAAAAUUGAAAGAAUGGAAGAACAAGGUCAAGGACUCCGAGAAGAAGUACAAACAAAUCCAGGAACAGUUGGAGGUGAUCACACAGCAGGUCCAGGAGCUCCAGCCUAAAUGUGCUGAGCUCAAGGCCAAUACCCAAAAACAAAGCACUCUUUUCAAGUCCAGUGAGGUCACCGUCCAUAGAUGCAAGGCUAACCUGAAAGCUUUAGAAAAGGACAAGGCCCAGUUGUCCUCCAAGAUAAAUGAUCUCAGGCUAAACAUCAGUCAGAUAACGGGGUCAGAGAGAAAGGCCAAGGAGGAGCGAAUGCAGCAAAUACAGACCGACCUAGAAGAUUUGAUUCACCAGAUCUCCACUCUGGAUCAGCAAAUUGAUCAGUAUCAAUACGCCUACAGUCGUGCAAGAGAGGAACAUGGAAAGAUAAGGAAAGAGCACAACAUACUCAGGAAUUCAAUAGAAGCCAACAGUAAGCACUUGCACACCAUGGAAGGCAGUCGAUCUAAUCGUCUACGGCGGUUUGGGGAGCAGAUGCCCGCACUGCUCAAUGCCAUUGAAGAUGCACAUAAAAAGGGCCAAUUCAAGCACAGACCUCGAGGACCCCUGGGUUACCUUAUCAACCUGAAGGACUCUGAGCUUGCUCUUGCCAUAGAAGUGUGUCUAAAAGGUCUGGUAAAGGCUUUCACUUGUGACAACUACGAGGAUGAAAAAGUGCUAAAGGGACUUAUGGAUAAAGUGUUUACGGCUGGGCGAAGGCCUCCAAUCAUCACCAGCCAAUUUUCCCCACAUGUCUAUAAUACAAGCAAGCGGGCUGUGAAUCACCCAGUAUAUCCAUCUGCGCUUCAAGCUCUAGAAAUUGAGGACCCGGUUGUGGCCAAUUGCCUGAUUGACCAGAUGAAUAUCGAGUGCAUUUUACUCAUUAAGAAUUGCACUGAGGCCCGACAGGUGAUGCAAUCCAGACACCCUCCUCCCAACUGCCACGUGGCCUUCUCCAAGGACGGCGACCAGAUUUUUACUAAUCGCAUUUAUACCGCCGAACAGACUCGAGCCAACCACCUUUCUAAGGAUGUCGAGGAUGAGAUACGACACCUCCAGAGAGAGUUGGAUAACCAGAAAACUCAGGCAUCAUCCUUGCAGCAACAAAUUAAGAAGUUAGAUGAGGACAUCCGAGAGAACGAGAAACUGGAGAAGAGAGCCCUUGCAGAGCAGAAGCUUGCCAAUGAUGAAGCCACAAAGUUAAAACUGGAGCUUUCAGACCUCCAGAAUGAUGAGGAGCAUCAGAUGGAAGACCUCGACCCACUGGAGGAGGAUCUCCAGGAGAUUGUCAAUAAGAUUUCAUCGAAAAGCACAGAGUACAACGAAGUGCAAGCUCAGAUGAAUGAGCUAAAGAUUUCUUACGAAAAGGCUGAGCAGAAGUACAGGGAACACAAAGAGCGCAUCUGCACAAUUACUGAGGAGGCCGACGCAAUCAAAGAGGAACUGACCAAGGCCGACCAGGAGGUGAUGAAAUGCAAGCAUUACAAGAACCAGUAUGAUGAGAAACACAACGCUCAUCUGCAAAGCAUCAAAAUGCUGGAAGCCACGCUGCAGCACAAGGAGCAGGACAUUCAGGUUCAUGUUUCCAAAGCCCAAGAGAUUUGGCCUCAGCGCCUGAAUGUGCGUCGGACUGCCAGGAGUCUGGACACAGAAAUUAGCCGCCUCAAUGACAAGAUUGCCAGCCAGCGACAGCAAGAGGGGGACCGUGAGGAGAUUGUUAGGCAGUACCAUGAGGCACUGAGGGAAUAUAAGAAUAUGGCACAGCAAUUGAAGAAUCUCAAGAUGUUCAUCAAAAGCUUGGACAGUGUUAUGAAUCAAAGACUUCAUGUUUACGCUGAGCUCAGGAGGUUCCUCUCUGCACGUUGUAAAUAUUACUUUGACAGCAUGCUGGCUCAGAGAGGCUUCACUGGAAGCAUGGUCUUUGACCAUAAGAACGAAACCCUCUCCAUCUCCGUACAUCCGAGUAAAGGUAACACGGCCGACAUGAGCAACAUGCGCUCGCUGUCAGGAGGCGAGCGCUCCUUCUCCACAGUCUGCUUUGUUCUCUCUCUCUGGGCCAUUACUGAGGCACCAUUCCGCUGCCUGGAUGAAUUUGAUGUUUACAUGGACAUGGUGAACAGGAGGAUCUCUGUGGAUAUGAUGCUGAAAGUGGCUGAUGGCCAGCGCUACAGACAAUUCAUUUUUUUCACACCACUAAGCAUGAGUUCUCUCCCGGAGAGUGAUCUCAUCCGCAUCCUCUGUCUCAAUGAUCCUGCCCGGGACCCAAGCACAAAAGACGAUCAUAAUGAGGCCCAGACCUGAUCAAAUGUUAUAAGACAUCUUUAUGCACAGUGCAUGUCUUUGGAAGUGGGAGGAAGCCGGAGUACCCGGAGGGAACCCACGCAGUAACGGGAAGAACAUGCAAACUCCACACAGAAAGAUCCCAAGCGCAGGAUCGAACCCAGGACCUUUGUAUUAAUGUUGGAAAGGUACUGCGCACCACAUGGAAGUGCUUGAUGCUGGGCCUGCACAAUUUUGCACAGGCCUACUCCACUCCCAUCACAUUGGCUGCGACCUUUCAACCAAGGAUGAAAUAGAACCUGAAGGCCUCUGCUCCACUUCCUUCUGUCAUGUAAUUUAAUACAGUACCUUAAAUGUAUUGUGGAGAUUGCCCUUUAGGGGGUUCUUCGGACCUCCUAUCAUGCCUUUUAACAGAGCGACAGGUGAUUCGAUAAUCAGGCUCAGGUGGGCCAUCCACGCACCUGUCACUGAUUUGUAAGCCGGUCCAUGCACACGCCGCUUCGCUGCAGGCCCGCAGGCCACGCCCUUCCCACAUGUAUAUAUUCUUGUUUUUUCAAAUCAAACUUUCUUUGAAAAAGAAGAGCAAUUUUGGCAUAUAAUUGUUUCAACAAGGAGCUAGUUAUCAAUACAAUGUGAAGGGAAGGGGGCCACAAUUAAUUAGGAGACCAAAAUGUAAUGACAACAGCGCCAUUUUUGUCUUUACAUUUGCAAGUCAUACAUGAAUGAAUAUAUUAAUAAAGUGUGCAUUAAACCUA